rnacentral:rRNA from 1 species
UACGGAGGGUGCAAGCGUUAAUCGGAAUCACUGGGCGUAAAGCGCGCGUAGGCGGCUUGAUAAGUCAGGCGUGAAAUCCCUCGGCUCAACCGGGGAACUGCGUUUGAUACUGUCAGGCUUGAGUGCCGGAGGGGGUGGCGGAAUUCCGGGUGUAGGAGUGAAAUCCGUAGAUAUCCGGAGGAACACCGGUGGCGAAGGCGGCCACCUGGACGGCAACUGACGCUGAGGCGCGAAAGCGUGGGGAGCAAAC